AGACUAGAUCGAUAGGGCUGCACAGAGGUGGCACAGUUGUGCCAGAGGUAGCAGGGACAGGAGGGCUGGCAAGGGAGGGUCCAGGGCUAGGGGAUUCGGAGUGGCUUCAGGCGGACCACGUGGCUACCUUUUUUCCAGGGCCAGACUUUGGCAGCGUGUAAGGUCUGAGGACAGGGGCACCGGAGGCCGAGGAUGAGAGGCCAGUGCCUGUUUCCAGGCAGCCAGGGCCUCAGAAACUCCGGCCGGAGCACUCACCCGUCGGUGGAGGCCGUUACCAGGGCCACCUUAUUUGCGAGCGGGUCCCGGCGGGUCAUCCCGGAGCUGGCCAUCCGCACCGAAUUCCAAGCCCGGGCACAGAGGCCUAGCAGCCCCGCCUUGUGCAUGGAUCAGACCAGCAAGUGCCACUUCGGAUAAACCCUUUGGACUCCUAACUCCAAUCAGGUGUCUGCUUUGUUGAGGACUCACAGACACAGUCUCCUUUCUUCAAGAUCUUUACAAUGCAAGACCUCACUAACACACAGGGAUGGUCUCCCAGAGGGUCUGUGCUGUUCCUUCACUCAGAACAUCAAGAUGCACUGAAGUAAGGAUCCUCUAUUCUACAGUUCCUGCUAGCUGAGCUAUUCCAUGGGGGCUUCAGCAGGAAAUUCCAAGGUUGGCUUUGACAAGCUAAGGCCGGCUGGUGGAGCACAUCGAGUUCUGGAGGUUCAUGUGUGUUUUCAUGAAGAUCUGUCUGCCCGUAGCAGAUAAAGAGUUGUUGCCCCACUCCUCCUGGGGUCUUCUAUUUUCCUGGGAGGAAUUUCUGGAUUAACUGAACACACACACACACACACACACCCUUUUGAAGCAUCAACAGUAAUUCUGAGUUCUUAGGGACAAUGCAGAUUAAAUCCACAAUAAGAAAGACAACUAUGGCCAGGUGUGGUGGCUCACGCCUGUAAUCCCAGAACUUUGGGAGGCUGAGGCGGAUGGAUCACCUGAGGUCAGGAGUUAGAGACCAACCUGACCAACAUGGAGAAACCCCGUUUCUACUAAAAAUGCAAAAUUAGCCGGGCAUGGUGGCAGGCGCCUGUAAUCCCAAAUACUCGGGAGGCUGAGGCAGGAGAAUCACUUAAACCCGGGAGGCAGAGGUUGCAGUGAGCCAAGAUCGCGCCAUUGCACUCCAGCCUGGGCAAGAAGAGCAAAACUCCAUCUCAAAAAAAAAAAAAGAGUACUAUUGAUCCAGAGGUGACCAGACUAGCCUCACUGGAGAUAAUAGGUGACAUUAUUAUGCAAAGUGGUUUCAGUUCCCUUGUCUUGUUUUUGGAAUAGUAUAAGAGGCCUACAAUACGAAUAAAUAAGGCCCAUCACAAGCCUCACCAAAGGACAAAACUAAUCCACUUCUGAAGAAGGCUCUUUGUUGGGCCAGAUCAAAUCCUUGGACAGAACUGUACUCUUAAUCUCUGUAGUGAAAGUGGGGGGUAGUUUAAGAAUUUAUUAACCUUCUACCUUGAGCAAUCCCUCAGAAGUAAGAGGUGUCAGGCCUCUGAGCCGAAGCUCAGCCAUUGUAACCCCUGUGACCUGCACAUAUAUGUCCAGAUGGCCUGCAGGAGCCAAGAAGUCUGGGGCAGCUGAAAAACCACACAAGAAGUAAAACAGCCAGUUCCUGCCUUAACUGAUUAACCAACAUUACAACAUUCCACCAUUGUGACCUGUCCCUGUCCUACCUUAACUGAUCAAUCGACCUUGUGACAGUCUUCUUCUGGACAAUGGGUCUUAUCAUCUCCCCACCAUGUACCUUGUGACCCCCUCCUCUGCUAACAAUAGAUAACCACUUUUUACUGUAAUUUUCCAUUACCUACCCAACUCCUAUAAAGCAACCCCUUCCCCAUCUCCCUUCACUGACUCUGUUUUCAGACUCAGCCCACUUGCACUCAAGUGAAUAAACAGCCUUGUUGCUCACACAAAGCCUGUUGGUGGUCUCUUCACACAGAUGUGCUUGACAAAAGGGAAGGGUGGAUUUGUCCUUCUGGUUACAUAUGUUCUGCUCACUCAUUUUGAAUUUAAUUAAACAAGGAUUGCCCUUACCUUUUCAUACUUUGUAAGAAACCAUAAAUACUUAUGCACCAUGAUUUUUUUAAAGAAACACUUUUUAUUUUGAAGUAAUUAUAGUCUCAUAGGAAGUUGCAAAAGUAGUACAUAGAGUCCCUGAGUACUCUUCCCCCAGUGGUGACAACUGUAGUAUAAUAUCAAUUCUGGGAAAUUGACAUUGGUACAAUACCAAAUAUACUAUGCCUUUUUCUCUAAGGCAUGAUGUUGCAGUAGCAUCCUUGUACAUGUAGCUAGGAGAACUUGUACUAAGCCCAGAUAAAUAGUUGAAGUACAAGGGCAAGGAGUGUGUCUUUGAUAUUUUAAUAGAAAUCACCUAUUGCCCUCUAGAAAAGCUGUACCCUUUUCCAGUGGCAGAGAACCUUCCUGAAAGGCAGUCCUGUGUAAUGGUGUCCAUUUCAUCACACCCUUAAAACACUCAGCUUUAACAAACAUGCAGAUUUUUGCUGAUGUGGGAGAAAAUAUUAAUUAUUAAUGAUAUUAAGGUGAUUAUCUUUUCGUAUGUUUAUAGAUAUUUGUAUUUCUUUUUAAAUGAACUGCUCAUGACCUUUGUCUACUUUUAUUUGGGUUUACUUCUUUCUCAUUUAUUCCUAUAAACUCUUUAUAAAAGGAAAUUAACCAUUUGAUUGUCAUAUGUUGUGAAUAUUUUUACCAUUUUGACUUUUGAAUUUAUGUCUUUUUAAUGAAUUGUAGAAGUUUAAAAUCUUUAUGGAAUAAAUUUAUUUAGUUUUUUGUUUAUGG
rnacentral:lncRNA from 1 species